rnacentral:rRNA from 1 species
GGUCAAGCUACAAAGGGCAGAUGGUGGAUACCU